rnacentral:rRNA from 1 species
AUUGAACGCUAGCGGGAUGCCUUACACAUGCAAGUCGAACGGCGUGGCGAACGGGUGAGUAAUGUAUCGGAACGUGCCCAGUAGCGGGGGAUAACUACGCGAAAGCGUAGCUAAUACCGCAUACUAUUGCAUCGGCCUAUAUCGGAUUAGCUAGUUGGUGUGGUAACGGCUCACCAAGGCGACGAUCCGUAGCUGGUUUGAGAGGACGACCAGCCACACGGGGACUGAGACACGGCCCAGACUCCUACGGGAGGCAGCAGUGGGGAAUUUUGGACAAUGGGGGAAACCCUGAUCCAGCCAUCCCGCGUGUGCGAUGAAGGCCUUCGGGUUGUAAAGCACUUUAAGUUGGGAGGCGUUACCAACAGAAUAAGCACCGGCUAACUUCGUGCCAGCAGCCGCGGUAAUUC